GAAAAGCGUAGUCGAUGGAAAACAGGUUAAUAUUCCUGUACUUCUGGUUAUUGCGAUGGAGGGACGGAGAAGGCUAGGCCAGCCUGGCGUUGGUAGUCCAGGUUUAAGGUGGUAGGCUGAGAUCUUAGGUAAAUCCGGGAUCUUAAGGCCGAGAGCUGAUGACGAGUGUUCUUUUAGAACACGAAGUGGUUGAUGCCAUGCUUCCAAGAAAAGCUUCUAAGCUUCAGGUAACCAGGAACCGUACCCCAAACCGACACAGGUGGUUG
rnacentral:rRNA from 1 species